rnacentral:ncRNA from 1 species
UCGAGCCGUAUGAAGGGAAACUCCCACGUACAGUUUGUUUUGGGGGGGAAGGAGCCCGACAGAGUCCCCCCACUGACUUGGCCCGGGCCUAAGUGAAAGUGCAAAAGUGAAUUGGUGGGCCUACCCAUCCCGAC